CAGAUAAGAAAAUAUUGUUAUUUACUAAGUUUGAUGGGUUUAUAAUUAAAUUAUCACAAUUUAUUGAAAAACACAAUAUCAAAUUUGGUGUACAAGAGACUUUAGCACUACAAGAACUUAGAACUCUUUCAAAGUCUGGUAAUGAUACCAUUGCAGCCUUGAGAUUGAUACCAUUUUUAUUUCAACCAGUUACAUUUAAAUUGCAUAAAAAGAAAAAAUUGUGGUACACCUUCAACUUGGCGUCCAUCUAAAGUAGAACAAGCUUCAGCUUUUAUAAAGUUUAUUGCUGAUGCAAAUGAACUUAAGACUAGCCACACUCAUAAAGUAGACAAAUCUGUUCAAUUUGGAACUACCUUACAACCGUAUGUAAUUAUUGUUGGACAUAUUGUAGAUACAUUCCAAGAAGACAAUUCCAAUCAUACACCUAUUGAAUCGUACACAGUCAUAACCAAUACAUAUUAUAAAUUGGAGACUCCCUUAAAGGCUUUAGACAUUUGCUUUAAAUCGUAUUAUUCAUUAAAUUUACAAUAUCCCAUCGAAAAGUACAGCAUGUUUAGAUUUUUAUACAACAGUAUUUUUUUGAAAUUCAUGACAAAAAUGACAAAAAUUUCC